rnacentral:rRNA from 1 species
AACGAACGCUGGCGGCAUGCCUAACACAUGCAAGUCGAACGAGAUCUUCGGGUCUAGUGGCGCACGGGUGCGUAACGCGUGGGAAUCUGCCCUUUGGUUCGGAAUAACAGUUGGAAACGACUGCUAAUACCGGAUGAUGACGAAAGUCCAAAGAUUUAUCGCCAGAGGAUGAGCCCGCGUAGGAUUAGCUAGUUGGCGUGGUAGAGGCGCACCAAGGCGACGAUCCUUAGCUGGUCUGAGAGGAUGAUCAGCCACACUGGGACUGAGACACGGCCCAGACUCCUACGGGAGGCAGCAGUGGGGAAUAUUGGACAAUGGGCGAAAGCCUGAUCCAGCAAUGCCGCGUGAGUGAUGAAGGCCUUAGGGUUGUAAAGCUCUUUUACCCGGGAUGAUAAUGACAGUACCGGGAGAAUAAGCUCCGGCUAACUCCGUGCCAGCAGCCGCCGUAA